rnacentral:sRNA from 1 species
GCCUGGCGCGUUGGCGCACGCCUGUAAUCACAGCGGCGCGGGAGGCUGAGGCAGGAGGAUCGCAAGUUCACCACCUCAACUUAGCGAGGCCCUAAGCAACUUAGCGAGACCCUGUCUUUA